ensembl:lncRNA
AAUAGGAGCGCUCCGCUUCUGAUGACGCGACGCGACGCGGCGGCUCUGGUCUCUUUCUACUGCGCAGGAAGCGAGACGCGCAAAAGCACCAGAAGUUAAACGCAAAGGUAACGCGGCACAUGCAACAGCAAGCAGCAGUUUGUUUUUUACUGUAACCGCUCGGAGUUUCCCGCGAAUGCAAGAGGAACCCGGCGUCUCGAGCAGAAUGAUUGGUUAUCAAGGCACCGGAAACAGCGCUAGAGCGAAGGAAGCUGUUAAAAGAUGCUGUGUUGGGAGUCUUUUAACCUAGCCUGGUUCUUCUGGCGACUUGGCAGAGCUCAACCACGGAAGUCAGACCACUAUGGGCCGAAGCUGACCGAUAAAGGUCCAGACAUGAAGGAGACAGCGUCUUGUCUGUGGCAUCUCACAAUGAGAAGAGCUUUCAGCGUGUCGCGAGUUUCCAAAGUUGGUUCAGGAGAUACACUGGAUUAGGUGGGAUGCCAAAUCACUCCUGGCGACUGGCCAGAUGUGCUUUCUAAGACUUCUGGAUACUAAAUUGAAUAAUUUUUUGUUGGCAAGAAUGUGUUUGAUUAACCAGUCUUAAUCUUAAAUCACCAGUGACUUAAGUAUUCUGUAUGUUAAUUGUACUUUAAUAAUUUGUAUAUUCAUUUAGCAACAACAUCUACAGUAUACUGUAUUUUCAAGUGAAAAAGAGUAUUCACCUGGAAGUAAUGUGGGGCAGGGCUUGAUUCAAUAUCAAUGAAGUAAUGAAUGUUAUUGGUCAAUAUUUUGGCCCCGCCCAUGUGGCAUUGAUUACAUCACCAAAAAAGCUAAAUGCUUCAGCGCACUAUAACAUAUCAACUGAAGAUUAUGAAAAUGGUAUACAUUUUCUAUAUAAAAUGGAAAUUAAAUCCAAAUUAUGAUUUUUUUUUCUUUUUUUGAGCUAAUAAAUAAUGCAAAAUAACACA